GAUGAACGCUGGCGGCGUGCUUAACACAUGCAAGUCGAACGAAGCACCUUAUUCUGAUUUCUUCGGAAUGAAAAAUUUGGUGACUGAGUGGCGGACGGGUGAGUAACGCGUGGGUAACCUGCCUCAUACAGGGGGAUAACAGGUAGAAAUGACUGCUAAUACCGCAUAAGACCACAGCACCGCAUGGUGCAGGGGUAAAAACUCCGGUGGUAUGAGAUGGACCCGCGUCUGAUUAGGUAGUUGGUGGGGUAACGGCCUACCAAGCCGACGAUCAGUAGACGACCUGAGAGGGUGACCGGCCACAGUGGGACUGAGACACGGCCCAAACUCCUACGGGAGGCAGCAGUGGGGAAUAUUGCACAAUGGGGGAAACCCUGAUGCAGCGACGCCGCGUGAGUGAUGAAGUAUUUCGGUAUGUAAAGCUCUAUCAGCAGGGAAGAAAAUGACGGUACCUGACUAAGAAGCACCGGCUAAAUACGUGCCAGCCGCCGCUGUAA
rnacentral:rRNA from 1 species